CGAACGCUGGCGGCGUGCUUCACACAUGCACGUCGAACGGAAAUGCCCUGCUUUUGUGGGGUGCUCGAGUGGCGAACGGGUGAGUAACACGUGAGUAACCUGCCCUUGACUUUGGGAUAACUUCAGGAAACUGUGGCUAAUACCGGCUAGGAGCUCCUGCUGCAUGGUUUGGGUUGUAAAGUUUCGGCGGUUGGGGAUGGACUCGCGGCUUAUCAGCUUGUUGGUGGGGUAGUGGCUUACCAAGGCUUUGACGGGUAGCCGGCCUGAGAGGGUGACCGGCCACAUUGGGACUGAGAUACGGCCCAGACUCCUACGGGAGGCAGCAGUGGGGAAUAUUGCACAAUGGGCGGAAGCCUGAUGCAGCAACGCCGCGUGCGGGAUGACGGCCUUCGGGUUGUAAACCGCUUUCGCCUGUGACGAAGCGUGAGUGACGGUAAUGGGUAAAGAAGCACCGGCUAACUACGUG
rnacentral:rRNA from 1 species